rnacentral:rRNA from 1 species
GGUUAAGUGAAUAAGGGCGCACGGUGGAUGCCUUGGCACUAGGAGCCGAUGAAGGACGGGACUAACACCGAUAUGCUUUGGGGAGCUGUACGUAAGCUAUGAUCCAGAGAUUUCCGAAUGGGGGAACCCAACAUCUUUAAUAGGAUGUUACGAUUGUGUGAAUACAUAGCACAUUCGAGGUAGACGCAGAGAACUGAAACAUCUAAGUACCUGCAGGAAGAGAAAGAAAAUUCGAUUCCCUGAGUAGCGGCGAGCGAAACGGGAAAAGCCCAAACCAGCAAGCUUGCUUGUUGGGGUUGUAGGACUCCAA